rnacentral:misc_RNA from 1 species
GAUGAAGAACGAAGCGAAAUGCGAUAAGUAAUGUGAAUUGCAGAAUUCAGUGAACCAUCGAAUCUUUGAACGCACAUUGCGCCCGCCAGUAUUCUGGCGGGCAUGCCUGUCCGAGCGUCAUCUCAACCCUCGAGCCCCCCCGGGGGCUCGGCGUUGGGGACCGGCCCCGCCCCAGGGCGCGCCGCCCCCCAAAUCCAGUGGCGGUCCCGCCGCAGCCUCCCCUGCGCAGUAGCUUGCACACCCGCACCGGAGAGCGGCGCGGCCACGCCGUAAAACCCCCCGACCACGGAGCCCCGGCUCCUGAACGUUGACCUCGGAUCAGGUAGGAAUACCCGCUGAACUUAAGCAUAUCAAUAAGCGGAGGA